GGCUGGUCCAAGUGCAAUGGUGUUUACAAUGGAUUGAUCACAACCAGUUACAGAUUCCUUUGUUCCUUCUCCAUUUCCACUGCUUCUCUUGACUAGUAAAU
ensembl:misc_RNA Y_RNA Y RNA